CCGCCAUAUUGCCCUAUUGUUAUAAAAAGAAUUUUAUUGAAGAAAGAAGUUUCUAUCAACGAAGUGUAAUAUUUUAUAAUAUUUAAUUGUCUCCGCAGAAACGUGCGACGAAGAAGAAGCGCAAAACUAAGAAAAGGGAUUUCGGAGAGAAGCCAAACGACCAAGAAGAGACACAUUAGGUAUAUUCCAAGUUUGCAUGGCGGAACGCCCCUGUCCAUAUUCUCUCGCGGUUCGCGAAUGUCACAUUUAGAUAUUAUAUAUACCAGAGAAAGAGAAGAAAGAUGCAAAAUUCACGGAUAACUGGAGAAGGACCGAGAGGAAAAUAUCAAAUAGAAAUUUAAAAAAAUUGAUUGAGAAAAAAAAAUCAUCAACAGAAAUUAUAUAGAAAAAAAGGACGAACCAAAAAAUAAUGAAAAUCAAAAUAAACAAAAUGAAAUUUGGAAAAUUAAUAUAUAAUCCAGAAGAAUAUUUUUUUUUUCUAUUUACGACAAAGAGCAGAAGAAGAUGAUGAUGCUGUGGAAUUGGAAAUUAUUGGAACCGAUGAUGAGAGAAUAUCGUGAACAGAAUGUGAACUUGGCCAAUGGACUCCGUAAUUUUGAUUGGAAAUUGACGAUGUCGUCGAUGGUGAUGGAG